UACACUCCUACGGGAGGCAGCAGUGAGGAAUAUUGGACAAUGGGUGGAAGCCUGAUCCAGCCAUCCCGCGUGCAGGAAGACGGCCCUAUGGGUUGUAAACUGCUUUUAUCUGGGGAUAAACCUACUUACGUGUAAGUAGCUGAAGGUACCAGAAGAAUAAGCACCGGCUACCUCCGUGCCAGCAGCCGCGGUAAUACGGAGGGUGCAAGCGUUAUCCGGAUUUAUUGGGUUUAAAGGGUCCGUAGGCGGACUGAUAAGUCAGUGGUGAAAUCCGACAGCUUAACUGUCGAACUGCCAUUGAUACUGUUAGUCUUGAGUAAGGUUGAAGUGGCUGGAAUAAGUAGUGUAGCGGUGAAAUGCAUAGAUAUUACUUAGAACACCAAUUGCGAAGGCAGGUCACUAAGUCUUAACUGACGCUGAUGGACGAAAGCGUGGGGAGCGAACAGGAUUAGAAACCCUAGUAGUCCCAGA
rnacentral:rRNA from 1 species